rnacentral:rRNA from 1 species
UACGUAGGGAGCAAGCGUUGUCCGGAAUCAUUGGGCGUAAAGCGCGCGUAGGCGGCCCUGUAAGUCCGUUGUGAAAGUCAAAGGCUCAACCUUUGAAAGCCGAUGGAUACUGCAGGGCUAGAGUCCGGAAGAGGCGAGUGGAAUUCCUGGUGUAGCGGUGGAAUGCGCAGUUAUCAGGAGGAACACCAAUAGCGAAGGCAGCUCGCUGGGACGGUACUGACGCUAAGGCGCGAAAGCGUGGGGAGCGAACAGG